rnacentral:sRNA from 1 species
GCCAGGUGUGGUGGCUCAUGCCUGUAAUCCCAGCAGCUCAGGAGGCUGAGGCAGGAGGAUCACAAAUUCAAACCCAGCCUCAGCAAAAGUGAGGCACUAAGCAACUCAGUGAGACCCUGUCUCUA